UCUAGCAGAGUGCUUGUGGUAUGGAAGAAAGGAGUCAAUAAACAUCUUUGGUUCUUUUUUCUUUUAAUGUAUGAAUAAUUUCAUGAUCUCAUUAUUAUGUGACAAAAUUGGGAAUGUAGAGACAUUAAGGCUGCAAGAUGGAUGAUAGAAGCAUAAACUUGAAAAUGGGAACAGCCCGAAUACCAAAGUCACUGCUCAGAUGAGAGACACCCAAAAAGCCAGCAGAUCAGGAACAUUCAUAUUUGAUUCUGAGUUGGGAUGUUCUGAAGAGAUUGGUGUUGGAGCCAUGUGGUCCAGUGUGUCAUUCAAAGCUACACUUUCCUUUUGUUGAUUUUCUGUUUGGAUGAUCUACCCAUUGAUGAUUUGAAAAGAAAGCUAAAAGAACAUAUUCUGAAGGCUGGAAAUGUGGAACCUGCUGAUUUUAUAGAAGAAAAAUAAAAACAUUUAGAUAUCUGUCUGUUUACAUGUUUAAGGGAGUGCAUGUCAAAAUAAAAGUCAAUCCGGCACU